UGAGGAAUAUUGGACAAUGGGUGAGAGCCUGAUCCAGCCAUCCCGCGUGAAGGACGACGGCCCUAUGGGGUGUAAACUUCUUUUGUAUAGGGAUAAACCUUUCCACGUGUGGAAAGCUGAAGGUACUAUACGAAUAAGCACCGGCUAACUCCGUGCCAGCAGCCGCGGUAAUACGGAGGGUGCAAGCGUUAUCCGGAUUUAUUGGGUUUAAAGGGUCCGUAGGCGGAUCUGUAAGUCAGUGGUGAAAUCUCAUAGCUUAACUAUGAAACUGCCAUUGAUACUGCAGGUCUUGAGUAAAGUAGAAGUGGCUGGAAUAAGUAGUGUAGCGGUGAAAUUCAUAGAUAUUACUUAGAACACCAAUUGCGAAGGCAGGUCACUAUGUUUUAACUGACGCUGAUGGACGAAAGCGUGGGGAGCGAACAGG
rnacentral:rRNA from 1 species